UUUUUUUUUUUUUUUUUUUUUUUUUUCCAUCUCCU
rnacentral:ribozyme from 13 species